UCCGGCUUACCACCGGCGGUCCCAUUAGAGUGCCCAACUAAAAGAUGGCAACUAAUGGCGAGGGUUGCGCUCGUUGCGGGACUUAACCCAACACCUCACGGCACGAGCUGACGACAGCCAUGCAGCACCUGUGCAGCAGUCCCGAAGGAAGACUCCAUUUCUGGAGCUGUCUACUGCAUGUCAAGCCUGGGUAAGGUUCUUCGCGUUGCAUCGAAUUAAACCACAUGCUCCACUGCUUGUGCGGGUCCCCGUCAAUUCUUUUGAGUUUCAGCCUUGCGACUGUACUCCCCAGGCGGUAUACUUAACGCGUUAGCUCCGGCACAGACAGGGUUGAUUCCGUCUACACCAAGUAUACAUAGUUUACGGCAAGGACUAC
rnacentral:misc_RNA from 1 species